CGCCCGUGGUCUGUGAAUGCUGACCAAAUGUUGACGAGUGUCUAAUGGCCUAACCUAUUGGCUCCAGCAGUAAUUGCCAGAACCUCUUUCCUCAUCUACCAAAUGGCCAUAGUGAUCGGCCCUUUCUGCAUCUCAGACUUCAUAUAAGAGAUCAUCAGCUGAAAACACCCCCAGCACAUGGACAGAAUCAACACAGCAUAGACAUUAUUUCAAUAUGCAAGUUUUGGACCCAGAUUGCCUGGAUUCAAAUCCUGACUUUGCCCCUUACUCACUGGGUUACUUUGGGCAAGUGACUUAACCUGUCUGUGACUCAGUUUUCCCAUAUGGAUUCCAUAUGGAUAAUAAUAGUAUCAACCUUAUAGGAUGCUGUGAGGGAGGAAAAUGUAC